rnacentral:rRNA from 1 species
CCUACGGGAGGCAGCAGUGGGGGAUAUUGGACAAUGGGGGGAACCCUGAUCCAGCGACGCCGCGUGAGUGAAGAAGUAUUUCGGUAUGUAAAGCUCUGUCAGCAGGGAAGAAAGAAAUGACGGUACCUGACCAAGAAGCCCCGGCUAACUACGUGCCAGCAGCCGCGGUAAUACGGAGGGGGCAAGCGUUAUCCGGAAUUACUGGGUGUAAAGGGAGCGUAGACGGCAGCACAAGUCUGGAGUGAAAUGCCGGGGCUUAACCCCGGAACUGCUUUGGAAACUGUGCAGCUAGAGUGCAGGAGAGGUAAGUGGAAUUCCUAGUGUAGCGGUGAAAUGCGUAGAUAUUAGGAGGAACACCAGUGGCGAAGGCGGCUUACUGGACUGUAACUGACGUUGAGGCUCGAAAGCGUGGGGAGCAAACAGGAUUAGAUACCCCAGUAGUC